UGGGGAAUAUUGCACAAUGGGCGCAAGCCUGAUGCAGCAAUGCCGCGUGAGUGAAGACGGCCUUAGGGUUGUAAAACUCUUUCGCUAGGGAAGAUAAUGACGGUACCUAGUAAAGAAGUCCCGGCUAACUCCGUGCCAGCAGCCGCGGUAAUACGGAGGGGACUAGCGUUGUUCGGAAUUACUGGGCGUAAAGCGCACGUAGGCGGACCAGAAAGUUGGGGGUGAAAUCCCGGGGGCUCAACCCCGGAACUGCCUCCAAAACUAUUGGUCUAGAGUUCGAGAGAGGUGAGUGGAAUUCCAAGUGUAGAGGUGAAAUUCGUAGAUAUUUGGAGGAACACCAGUGGCGAAGGCGGCUCACUGGCUCGAUACUGACGCUGAGGUGCGAAAGUGUGGGGAGCAAACAGGAUUAGAUACCCUGGUAGUCCACACCGUAAAACGAUGAAUGCCAGUCGUCGGGUAGCAUGCUAUUCGGUGACACACCUAACGGAUUAAGCAUUCC
rnacentral:rRNA from 1 species